GAUGAACGCUGGCGGCGUGCUUAACACAUGCAAGUCGAGCGAAGCACUUAAGUUUGAUUCUUCGGAUGAAGACUUUUGUGACUGAGCGGCGGACGGGUGAGUAACGCGUGGGUAACCUGCCUCAUACAGGGGGAUAACAGUUAGAAAUGACUGCUAAUACCGCAUAAGACCACGGUACCGCAUGGUACAGUGGUAAAAACUCCGGUGGUAUGAGAUGGACCCGCGUCUGAUUAGGUAGUUGGUGGGGUAACGGCCUACCAAGCCAACGAUCAGUAGCCGACCUGAGAGGGUGACCGGCCACAUUGGGACUGAGACACGGCCCAGACUCCUACGGGAGGCAGCAGUGGGGAAUAUUGCACAAUGGAGGAAACUCUGAUGCAGCGACGCCGCGUGAAGGAUGAAGUAUUUCGGUAUGUAAACUUCUAUCAGCAGG
rnacentral:rRNA from 1 species